AUGUGUGUUUCCCAUCAGGUGAAGUCUUUUGAGAAGGACCGUCAGUCAGAGAAAAGAAUUCCCGAGUCGGAUCUGGUGGAUCACUUCAUCCAGAAGAGCCGGACCAAACUCUCUGAGGAGAGAAACAGAGAGAUAUCUGAGAGCGCGUCUCUACAGAACCCAAAGGGAUCAGUACUGGGAAACUCAGGUGUGUGUGAUUCACACUGCAGCAGCGGCCUUAUGUCCAUGAAUGUGAACCUGGUGACUCCAGAGAAGAUCUCAGCCAGUUCCAGGCGGAGAUACGAGACACAGAUCCAGACACGACUGCAGAAUCUGAGCAACAGCUUGCAGAACAGGAGCAGCGACAUCGAAGUGCUGGCCGUCGAUCUGCCCAAGGAAACACUCAUCAACUUCCUGUCCCUGGAGGUCUGUACCGCCCGCUAUUAUUAUCAGCUAUUCUGAGUAAAUAAAUGGCAUUCCAGUGGAAAACCAGCAGGAAAGGGGAUCCUGUGUGUGUGUGUGUGAAUGGUGACAGCCGGAUACAGGGAAACCCUCGGCCUGAGCAUGGGGAGCAAAUAUUAGCUGUGUUUCCAUCCACCUAUUGUUAUGUGCGUCUGGGAAAUACUUGCAGGUCUCUGGUUCGAGUCCCGGCUGGGUCAGUUGGUGUUUCUGUGUGGAGUUUGCAUGUUCUCCCUUUGUAUCUGGGGUCGCCACAGCAUAACCGACAACUUAUCCAACAUAUGUUUUACAUAGGGAAUGCCCUUCCAGCUUCAACCCAGUAAUGGGAAACACCCAUACACUCUCAUUAACACACCACACACACUCAUACACUACAGACAAUUUAGCCUACUAUUCCUCUAAAGCGCAUGUGUUUGGACUGUGGGGGUAACCGGAGCACCCAGAGGAAACCCACGGCAACACGGGGAGAACAUGCAAACUCCACACAGAAACAGCAACUAACCCAGCCGAGACUCGAACCAGCGACCUUCUUACUGUGAGGUAGAGAUCUGCGCGGGACUUAAUUUUGAAUCCCGCUCCCACCAGGUUUAGCCCAAACCCGACCGCUCCCGCAUAUAUUUAUCAUUUGUUGUCCCGCUUCUCGACCCGCCCUGUUUUCUACCCGCUGCACCCGUUCCCGCUAACGAACGAGGGGGAGAACAAAACCGAAAACCACCCAGCGAUACAGAGACCAGCCUAUAACAAGCUGUCUGUAUAAACAGACACACACACAAGCACCAAGCAAGUAACACACACACACACACACAUAUAGGCAUCACCACACACACAGCACAAAGCUCUCUCUCUCAUUUGCGUGCACACACACACACACACACACACACACACACAAACCUCUAAUUCUCGCGCGCACACACACAAACACACAAACCUCUAAUUCGCACACACACACACAAACACACACACAACCACACACACACACACACACAAACACACACACACACACACAAAAAACAAGCUAAAGGCAGCAGCUGUCUCAUUCACACACAUACAUUUGCGUGCUCGCUCGCUCGGGAGUCGGGAGCGAUAUUGUUGAACUGCCCACUCCAGUUCAAAAUUAAACCGGUUACCGACCGUUCCCGCGCUUUAUUCGGAAAUUGAUUCCCGCGGCGGUACCGCGGGAGACGCAGGACCCGACCGGAUUUCUUCGGCACAGUAAUAAAUUUCCGAAUAAAGCGCGGGAGCGGUCGGUAACUGGAUUAAUUUUGGAUGGAAGCGUGCGGUUCAACAUUAACUACCCACUGCGCCACCGUGACGCCCUAUUUUUUUAUAUUCUUUUACUUUAUUAUUUUAUAGUUUAUUUUAUUUCUAGUACAUUCAAAGUGUCACAUUACUGUCAUUUUUUUUUACAUUUUAAUGAAAAUUAGAAAUAAUUCAUAUUAAAUAAUGUUUUAAAUGUCAUUUUCUCAAAUAUAUGACAUGUUUUUUUAUUGCUUUGACUUUGGGUUUAAUACAUCAGGUUUAUAAAUGAAAAGGGGAUUUGGCAACUUUCUGAAACAGAAUAGGAUGUACAGUGUGUUGAAAACGAGAUAUUGUAAUGGAUAUAAAUGUUGUGAUGUGUUUAUAGCGCUCAGUAAUCAUCGUGUGUGUUUGUGUGCUCAGUUUGACGGCGAGGAGCAGUUCAACAUCAGUGUGAAGACGCUUCUGUCUCGACUGCCCAAACAGAGAUACCUCAAACUGAUCUGUGAACAGCUCCAGCACUUCAAGAUAUACAAGAGGUGAGCAGACUACAACAAUACAGCGGUAAAAGCAUCUCCAGAUUAGAGUCAUCAUAAUGGCAGACUCGGCCAUUAUAAGAGGAACAAAAAAACACUGAGUUCUGUGAGUGAACUCAAUGGGCUCUAUUUUGACGGUCCAUGCGCAGAGUGCAAAACGCAGGGCGCAAACGCUUUCAGGGCGUGUCAGAACACGUUUUUGCUAAUUUAAGGACGGGAAAAUCUGCCUUGCGCCGUGGCACAUGUUCUAAAAGGGUCGAGUUUAUUUUC
ensembl:lincRNA